UACGUAGGUGACCAGCGUUGUCCGGAUUUACUGGGCGUAAAGAGCGCGCAGGCGGUCGUUCAAGUCGAGUGUGAAAGCCUCCGGCUCAACUGGGGAGGGUCACUUGAUACUGAUCGACUCGAAGGCAGGAGAGGGAAGCGGAAUUCCCGGUGUAGUGGUAGAAAUGCGUAGAUAUCGGGAGGAACACCAGUGGCGAAGGGCGGCCUCACUG
rnacentral:rRNA from 1 species